ACGCUCGACACCUACGGGAGGUAGCAGUGGGGGAUAUUGCACAAUGGAGGAAACUCUGAUGCAGCGACGCCGCGUGAGGGAAGAAGGUUUUCGGAUUGUAAACCUCUGUCUUCGGUGACGAAAAUGACGGUAGCCGAGGAGGAAGCCACGGCUAACUACGUGCCAGUAGCCGCGGUAAUCUGAGCGGGCUGGCAAGGC
rnacentral:rRNA from 1 species